rnacentral:rRNA from 1 species
UAGUCUGUGGAAACUGCCUGAUGGAGGGGGAUAACUACUGGAAACGGUAGCUAAUACCGCAUAACGUCGCAAGACCAAAGAGGGGGACCUUCGGGCCUCUUGCCAUCAGAUGUGCCCAGAUGGGAUUAGCUAGUAGGUGGGGUAACGGCUCACCUAGGCGACGAUCCCUAGCUGGUCUGAGAGGAUGACCAGCCACACUGGAACUGAGACACGGUCCAG